rnacentral:ncRNA from 1 species
UUUAAGCUUACUGGCUUAUUUUUAUUGUAAGUGUAAGAUUUACAUGUAAGUGUUGGCAAGAGCCAGAGAAAUCCUUAGAUAGGAAGGAAUGAUUGGAGUCGCAGUAGGAAGGUUUAUUUAUUUAGGAAACUAAGAAAUAGCUAAAUUAAAAAUAUAAACAAAGUUUGUGCCAGCAGUUGCGGCUAUACUUACUAUGUGACAAUAAAUUUUUAGUUUCAGAUUAUGGAACGGUUGGAUUAAGUAAGAGGCUUGUUAGGUGAAAUUUUAAGCUUUUACAUAAUUUGCAAGGAAGUCAGGUUCUGGGAAAACUUUAUUGUAAACUAGGAUUAGAUACCCUAUUAUAGAAGAUGUGAGUUAGGAAACUUAAUUAGUAUUAGUUAUGUUCUUGAAAAUUAAGGUAGUUGGCGGUUUUUUAGUCUAUUCAGAGGAACUUGUCCUGUAAUUGAUGAUCCACGUUAAGAGGAACUGUUUUUUUAAGUUUACAUAUCGCCGUGGUUUGAAUAUUUUUAGAGAAGUUGAAUAUUCAAUAUUUUGAGAGAAAAGAAAUCAGGUCAAGGUGUAGCUUAUAGAGGAGAAGAGAUGAGUUACAAUAAAUUUAUUUAAAUGGAUGUCGGUCUUAUAUGGUUGACUGAAGGUGGAUUUGAGGGUAAUUUUGAAUAUUUUUUCAAAAUGAUUUUAGCUCUAAAAUAUGCACAUAUCGCCCGUCGCUUUCAUUUUAAAGUGGAAUAAGUCGUAACAAAGUAGGUGUACUGGAAGGUGUCUCUAGAAAGAC